rnacentral:tRNA from 1 species
GGGGAUGUAGCUCAGCGGAAGAGCGCUUGCUUUGCAUGUAAGAGGCCCUGGGUUCAUCCCCCAGCAUCUCCA